rnacentral:rRNA from 1 species
GGUGAGUAACACGUGGGUAACCUGCCCAUCAGAAGGGGCUAACACUUGGAAACAGGUGCUAAUACCGUAUAACAAUCGAAACCGCAUGGUUUUGAUUUGAAAGGCGCUUUCGGGUGUCGCUGAUGGAUGGACCCGCGGUGCAUUAGCUAGUUGGUGAGGUAACGGCUCACCAAGGCCACGAUGCAUAGCCGACCUGAGAGGGUGAUCGGCCACAUUGGGACUGAGACACGGCCCAAACUCCUACGGGAGGCAGCAGUAGGGAAUCUUCGGCAAUGGACGAAAGUCUGACCGAGCAACGCCGCGUGAGUGAAGAAGGUUUUCGGAUCGUAAAACUCUGUUGUUAGAGAAGAACAAGGAUGAGAGUAACUGUUCAUCCCUUGACGGUAUCUAACCAGAAAGCCACGGCUAACUACGUGCCAGCAGCCGCGGUAAUACGUAGGUGGCAAGCGUUGUCCGGAUUUAUUGGGCGUAAAGCGAGCGCAGGCGGUUUCUUAAGUCUGAUGUGAAAGCCCCCGGCUCAACCGGGGAGGGUCAUUGGAAACUGGGAGACUUGAGUGCAGAAGAGGAGAGUGGAAUUCCAUGUGUAGCGGUGAAAUGCGUAGAUAUAUGGAGGAACACCAGUGGCGAAGGCGGCUCUCUGGUCUGUAACUGACGCUGAGGCUCGAAAGCGUGGGGAGCAAACAGGAUUAGAUACCCUGGUAGUCCACGCCGUAAACGAUGAGUGCUAAGUGUUGGAGGGUUUCCGCCCUUCAGUGCUGCAGCUAACGCAUUAAGCACUCCGCCUGGGGAGUACGACCGCAAGGUUGAAACUCAAAGGAAUUGACGGGGGCCCGCACAAGCGGUGGAGCAUGUGGUUUAAUUCGAAGCAACGCGAAGAACCUUACCAGGUCUUGACAUCCUUUGACCACUCUAGAGAUAGAGCUUCCCCUUCGGGGGCAAAGUGACAGGUGGUGCAUGGUUGUCGUCAGCUCGUGUCGUGAGAUGUUGGGUUAAGUCCCGCAACGAGCGCAACCCUUAUUGUUAGUUGCCAUCAUUCAGUUGGGCACUCUAGCAAGACUGCCGGUGACAAACCGGAGGAAGGUGGGGAUGACGUCAAAUCAUCAUGCCCCUUAUGACCUGGGCUACACACGUGCUACAAUGGGAAGUACAACGAGUCGCGAAGUCGCGAGGCUAAGCUAAUCUCUUAAAGCUUCUCUCAGUUCGGAUUGUAGGCUGCAACUCGCCUACAUGAAGCCGGAAUCGCUAGUAAUCGCGGAUCAGCACGCCGCGGUGAAUACGUUCCCG